rnacentral:lncRNA from 1 species
AUGACGGUUGUGGACACUUACCUAACGACCAGAAUCAGCUCUCCAAAAGCUUCACAACAAGCAAGAAUGAUUCCUAAAAUGGAGACACUACUAACAUCUCCUCCUGAAAAAAGUCAAAAAUCUCUCCACAGUCUCCGGGAGGAUGGUCCCCUUCCCUCGUCCCGGCCAGCCGCCCCCCCCCCCCCCCCCCCCCCCCCCCCUUUGGAGCAUAAGGCUCAGAUGGUGACUCGGGACUCAAACCACAGCCCUACGUCCCCCGGCGGGGUGGGGGUGGGGGUGGGGGUGGGGGCGGAGAAGGGCUGUCUGGCCGCUCUGGUCUCUCCGACGCUACGCAGCUUCCGGAGCGCUCGCGCCCCAUCGAGUACUCUGCGCUCCGCGGGUGCCCGGGGGGAGGCGUCCAUUCAUCCCCGAGCAUGUGCUCGGCCCGACCGCACGCUGCCGGGUGUCGGGGGCCGGGCCUCGCCCCGCGCCCGCGCCCCGCGCAGGGGGAGGGGGCGCUCGCUCCCCGGAGCAGGUGCAGCGGGUCAGGCGGCGGGGCAGCCCGCGCUCAGUCCGGCUUCCCGAGGCCCGUCGGGGCUGGAUGCCUCACCUUCGGGUGGUGCGCGCCCGAGCAUGGCCGCGCGGGCCGGGCCUUCCUCCUCGCUCCCAAAGGAGCAGCCACCGCCUGCCCCGAAGGAGACCGCUGCGGAGCGAGCUCUCCCCGCCGCCGCCGCCGGGUCAGGGGUAAGAUCAGGCGGCAGCUUAGGCUCCCCUCGGCUCCUCCCCUUCCUCUCCUCGGUUCUGACGCGGCCGCAGAGGCGGCGGCGGCGGCGGCGGCAGGUCCCGCGGCCCGAGGCGCACCCACCCGCUCGCGGAGCCCCGACUUCCUCUUCCCUUCUCGCGUCAUCAGAGCGCGCCGCAGUCACCCAGGGCGGGGUGCCUAGAACCGGGGGAAAAAAAAAAAGGCCCGCGGAGGAAACGUCCCGGCGGAAAGAAAAGGGCGGGGGUGAGGGGAGCGGUUGCUAG